UAAAGAUGUGGUUCUGUGUUGUAGGACCAGUGGAGGGUUUGUGGCUUUAAGCCCCAUAUCACCACAGGAGCUGUUAUUGCAGCCCAUGACCCACCGUACAGACAGCAGUGAAGACUACGAUGCCUCUCAGGUUGAUGAAUCAGGGUUGAAUGGCAUGUGGGGGGAUGAUCGCCCACCUGAACAUGCAUUCAGAACCAGACACAAGAGCUACAAAGCUGCAGUGUCCCACUCAGACCAGACACAGUACAUGGAAAAGGUGCGAGGACGACCAAAAGAACAACGGUUCUUACUUUCCCCGGAUAACUCCAACUCAAAAUCUCGUUCCCGCUCUCCCAGUGAGGAGCGCAUGCAUGGGGUCACCAGACAGGUAAACAAACAGCUCAAAUAUCUAUUUGUAAAGGUUGUUUCGCAUGACCUCU
rnacentral:lncRNA from 1 species